CUCUCUCUCUCUCUCUCUCUCGCAAAUUCUGGAUGUACCUCCUUAAUGGGGUGAUGGGUUCCACAAAUUUUGGUUUCAUUGCUACAGUUCUUUAUAUAUUCUAGGAAUAAGCAAAUUGAGCUAGUUCAAAAAGGACUAAGCAAACUGGUUUCAUUCCUAUGGAUCAAUACUCAGUUCAGGAACCUCUUCUUUCAAGUCAAGGUGUCAAGAAGAAGCCUCUCUUUGUAUCAUCAGCGAAAUGGGUUCUCAAGAUUCUAAUUUGGGUGAUUUUCAUUGCAUGGGUUGUUUUUAUCUUUGUGUAUCCAACACAAUUGGGCAAUGAAAUAUUUGAGAAAUGUAUUGGAGCCACCAAGGGAACUCCUUUUGGUCUUUCAGGAAGCAUAUUCUUAUUAUUGAGUGGACCGAUUCUUCUUAUUGCAAUUCUUGCUAUUGCACAUCUUAUCAUCUCUGGGGAAGAGGAUAUCCAGCAGAAGAAGAAUUCAAAGUAUCCACGUGUCCGCUUGUGGACAUUUCCUGUUCUCGUGGGUGGACCAUUUGGGGUUGUUUCUGCUGCUGAGUUCAUUGGGAUUCUUCUCUUUGUUGUGUACAUCAUCUGGGCUGUUUAUGCCUAUACAAUAAGGAAUCUCAGCCUUAUCUCCAAUUGGCAUUUUACUUCUAAAGAGGAAGGCAUCUGGCUAUUAGAAUUGACAGGGCUUCGACUUGGUAUGAUUGGAUUAUUUUGCUUGGCAUUUCUAUUCCUUCCGGUGGCAAGAGGAUCAGUUCUUCUCCGCCUUAUUGAUAUCCCUUUUGAGCAUGCUACAAGAUACCAUGUGUGGUUGGGACACUUGACAAUGCUGCUCUUUACCCUCCAUGGGCUAUUUUAUGUAAUUGGAUGGGGAAUGCAGGGUAAUCUGCAAUAUGAAAUAAUGGAAUGGAGAGAUGUUGGCAUUGCCAAUUUUGCAGGUGUUGUCAGCCUUUUAGCCGGACUUCUGAUGUGGGUGACAUCACUUCCUGGUGUGAGACAGUGGAGUUUUGAAUUGUUUUUUUACACCCAUCAACUAUAUGUGGUCUUUGUCCUCUUCUUGGCGUUCCAUGUUGGUGAUUUUAUUUUCAGCAUGUCUGCUGGUGGAAUAUUUCUUUUCAUGCUUGAUCGGUUUUUGAGAUUUUGCCAAUCACGAAGGACUGUAGAUGUAGUUUCAGCCAAGUGCCAUCCAUGUGGAACUGUGGAAUUGGUCUUUUCAAAACCAGGAAACUUGCGAUAUAAUGCCCUUAGUUUCGUUUUUCUUCAAAUCCGGGAAUUAUCAUGGCUGCAAUGGCAUCCUUUCAGCGUCUCAUCUAGCCCUUUGGAUGGUAAAAAUCAUCUAUCCAUUCUCAUAAAGGUCCUCGGGAGAUGGACAGAGAAGCUUAGAGAAAACAUCAUGAAAACAUCUGAGGUAGAAACAGCAAAAUUGCUGGACCAACCUUUCCAACCGCAUGCCAAGAUAACAGCUUCUGUUGAGGGGCCAUAUGGGCAUGAAGUACCAUAUCACUUGAUGUAUGAGAACCUCAUUCUAGUAGCUGGUGGAAUAGGAAUUUCACCUUUCUUGGCAAUCUUGAGCGAUAUUUUCCACCGUAUUAAUGAAGGCAGACCCUGCUUACCCAAAAAUGUUUUAGUUAUUUGGGCUGUGAAAAAAUCAAAUGAGCUUCCUCUUCUGUCAACCAUCAACAUGGAGUCAAUUUGUCCAUAUAUCUCUGACAAACUAAAUCUGGAGAUUUGCAUUUAUGUUACUCGUGAAACAGAUCCCCAAUUGGAAGAGGGGAUUGUUCACAAGGCUACAACUUCUUCUAUCUGCACUGCCACUAAGGGAUAUGGCAUGUCAGUUUUGGUUGGUACAGGUGAUAACAUAUGGUCUGGACUUUACAUUAUUUGUUCUACAGUGGGCUUUGUUAGUCUUCUGGGUUUGUUAGAUGUGUUCUAUAUAAACCGAUAUGGCAUACAAUCAUGGUGGUAUAAAGGACUUCUUUUUAUAGCAUGUAUGGUUGCAAGUAUUGUUAUCUUUGGAGGUUGUGUGGUUGGUUUGUGGCAUCUGUGGGAAAGGAAAACUUUGGCCAGGGAGGAACACUUGGACAACGGGAUGAAGGCUGAGAAGGUGCCAGAUAAUGAAGAUAUGACAAAUGAUAAUUUCUUUGAGAAAAAACAUUCAAGCUUUACUGUGAUACAGUAUGGUUCAAGACCAGACUUCAAAGGUUUGUAUGACUAUUUCAGCUCCUUACUUUCCUUUGAUAAACCGAAGAAAGAAAUAAUCUGAUAACAUGCAGUUCUCAAAAUACUUGUGCAUGUCAUAUCCGCAUUUUUAAAUGAAAAUGUGAACUACAUAGUCCUGACUUGAUCAUAACAUAUGCUUAACUUAUUUUCAGUUAUUCAUUCAUAGAAUCAUAUCCUUUUAAAGUCUGCUGAGUAUUGCUCCCUCACCACAUGAUUGCCAAUUUGCCUUGUAAUGUAAAAACAUCAAUGAAGAAAAACACGAUCAGACAAGCUUGGAAAACGAGUUAAUAAUGGGGGUUUUAAUUAUUAUUGGAUUCUUCAACAUUCACUAACCAGUUUAUUUGUUGACUUAUUAGUUUGUAUUGUAAUGUUAAAACCUUAAUACUUCCAUGCUGCUCUUUCUUGACCUGUUAUUUAUUUUCCUAACUGCAGAAAUUCUUGGAUGCGUAUCGAAGCGAUGGGGCUUUGUUGAUGUAGGGGUGAUUAUAUGUGGUCCUCCAACUCUUCAGUGCAGUGUUGCUAGAGAAAUCAGGUCUCAGAAUUUGAGGAGGGAAUCUGAUGAUCCUGUUUUCCAUUUCCACAGUCAUAGCUUUGAUCUGUAGCCAAAUGCUGCAAUAUGUUCCUUCUUACAGCAUUAGGUUGCAGUAUGUAUAUCUUAUAGCAAGUAAAUCUCUAAAAUAUGAGAUAGGAUGUUGUCUAUUUAGCAUGUAGAUUGUAAUGUAUGUAAUCAGCACUUUCCCUCUUUAUAUAUAUAACAGUAUUAGUCAUACUUGUAAACAAUAGUUGUUUCAUGCUUGUUCUUGUUUAUUAUGUAAAUUAACAUAUGAGAACUAGGGAUGGCAAUGGACAUGGCUCCUGGGAAAAUCAUUCUACC
rnacentral:misc_RNA from 1 species